AUACUCUCAUCCGUUACACCCACUCACAGAAAUCUGACAAUUUGCACUCAUCAAUUAUCCAUCGUCAUUCUCACACUCUUGAGAAUCCAUACACAAUCUUCCCCAUUCUCAUAGACUCCAUGGAUCAAAAAGGCAAGUAAGAAAGAGAGAAGACGAGAGAGGGCUGAGAGAAACAGAGGGAAAGUGAUCGAGAAAGCAAGUGAGAGAGAGAAUCGAUUUGAGAGAGGAGUAAGCAGUCGGUGACGGUCACUGUUCCGACGGCAAAUUCACCGCUGGCGCCGACCAAAUCC
rnacentral:lncRNA from 1 species